GUCGAACGCUGAAGCUUGGGUGCUUGCAUCUGGGUGGAUGAGUGGCGAACGGGUGAGUAAUACGUGAGUAACCUGCCCUUGACUCUGGGAUAAGCCUGGGAAACUGGGUCUAAUACUGGAUACUACACUCUCUCGCAUGGGGGUGUGUGGAAAGGGUUUUACUGGUUUUGGAUGGGCUCACGGCCUAUCAGCUUGUUGGUGGGGUAAUGGCCUACCAAGGCGACGACGGGUAGCCGGCCUGAGAGGGUGACCGGCCACACUGGGACUGAGACACGGCCCAGACUCCUACGGGAGGCAGCAGUGGGGAAUAUUGCACAAUGGGCGAAAGCCUGAUGCAGCGACGCCGCGUGAGGGAUGACGGCCUUCGGGUUGUAAACCUCUUUCAGCACGGAAGAAGCGAAAGUGACGGUACGUGCAGAAGAAGCGCCGGCUAACUACGUGCCAGCAGCCGCGGUAAUACGUAGGGCGCAAGCGUUGUCCGGAAUUAUUGGGCGUAAAGAGCUCGUAGGCGGUUUGUCGCGUCUGCUGUGAAAGCCCGGGGCUUAACCCCGUGGUGUGCAGUGGGUACGGGCAGACUAGAGUGCAGUAGGGGAGACUGGAAUUCCUGGUGUAGCGGUGAAAUGCGCAGAUAUCAGGAGGAACACCGAUGGCGAAGGCAGGUCUCUGGGCUGUUACUGACGCUGAGGAGCGAAAGCAUGGGGAGCGAACAGGAUUAGAUACCCUGGUAGUCCAUGCCGUAAACGUUGGGCACUAGGUGUGGGGGACAUUCCACGUUUUCCGCGCCGUAGCUAACGCAUUAAGUGCCCCGC
rnacentral:rRNA from 1 species